GACGACGCUGGCGGCGUGCCUAACACAUGCAAGUCGAGCGGGGUUGAAGCGAGAGGUAACUCGAACUUCUACCUAGCGGCGGACGGGUGAGUAACGCGUGGGCAACCUGCCUCAAGGUCUGGGAUAACAGCCCGAAAGGGCUGCUAAUACUGGGUAUGCUUGUGGCCUCGCAUGGGGCUAUGAGCAAAGGGGAAACCCGCCUUGAGAUGGGCCCGCGUCCCAUCAGCUAGUUGGUGAGGUAACAGCUCACCAAGGCGACGACGGGUAGCCGGCCUGAGAGGGUGACCGGCCACAUUGGGACUGAGACACGGCCCAGACUCCUACGGGGGGCAGCAGUGGGGGAUCUUGCACAAUGGGCGAAAGCCUGAUGCAGCGACGCCGCGUGAGCGAAGAAGGCCUUCGGGUUGUAAAGCUCUGUCUGGAGGGACGAAGGAAGUGACGGUACCUCCGGAGGAAGCCACGGCUAACUACGUG
rnacentral:rRNA from 1 species